GCAGAGCAUCCUACGGGAGGCAGCAGUGGGGAAUAUUGCACAAUGGGCGCAAGCCUGAUGCAGCCAUGCCGCGUGUAUGAAGAAGGCCUUUCGGGUUGUAAAGUACUUUCAGCUAGUGAGGAAGGUGGAUAUGUUAAUAGCAUAUUCAUUUGACGUUUAGCUGCAGAAGAAGCACCGGCUAACUCCGUGCCAGCAGCCGCGGUAAUACGGAGGGUGCGAGCGUUAAUCGGAAUUACUGGGCGUAAAGCGCAUGCAGGUGGUUUGUUAAGUCAGAUGUGAAAGCCCGGGGCUCAACCUCGGAAUUGCAUUUUGAAACUGGCAAACUAGAGUACUGUAGAGGGGGUAGGAAUUUCAGGUGUAGCGGUGAAAUAGCGUAGAGAUCUGAAGGAAUACCGGUGGCGAAGGCGGCCCCCUGGACAGAUACUGACACUCAGAUGCGAAAGCGUGGGGAGCAAACAGGAUUAGAUACCCUGGUAG
rnacentral:rRNA from 1 species